UACGACUACAUAUCAGGCAUAUCAAUAAGCGGAGGAAAAGAAACUAACAAGGAUUCCCUUAGUAACGGCGAGUGAAGCGGGAAGAGCUCAAAUUUGAAAUCUUCAAGGUUCUACCUUGACGAAUUGUAGUUUAUAGAAGUGUUUUCUGUUAGUGGAGUGGCAAAAGUUCUUUGGAAUAGGACAUCAUAGAGGGUGAGAAUCCCGUAUUUGGUCAUUCCUCCUAGCGUUGUGAUACACUUUCAACGAGUCGGAUUGUUUGGGAAUGCAGUCCAAAAUGGGUGGUAAAUUUCAUCUAAAGCUAAAUAUUGGCGAGAGACCGAUAGCGAACAAGUACCGUGAGGGAAAGAUGAAAAGAACUUUGAAAAGAGAGUUAAACAGUACGUGAAAUUGUCAAAAGGGAAGCGUUUGACACCAGUGUUGUUUUUCCGAAAAUCAAUUACGAAUGUUUUAUUUUUGAGGAGUUAUGACUUCAUCGGCUUGCUCCUUUCUUUAUGAAACUUUCUUAAUGCACUUUUCGGUUAACAAGUCAACAUCAAUUUCUUUUGUUGUAAAAGGGUAUGAGGAAGGUGGCUUUCUUUUCGGAGAAAGUGUUUACUAGCCUUGUGACUCCUGCAAUCGGAGAGACUGAGGUCUGCAGCGUAGAUCCUUUUGGAUUAGAUUACAGUUUGUGCUAAGUUAUAGCUUUUCAUAGACAACAUGUUGACUAUAGUUUAGUCUUGUAGCUUACUCGCUGAUGUAUUUUACCUACGCUUAGGAUGUUGAUCUCUCACAGUCGAGC
rnacentral:rRNA from 1 species